rnacentral:sRNA from 1 species
GCUCCCACCGCCCCAGCUGGUGGUGGUCUCGACACCACGCUCGGUGCGGGGUCACACGCCAGAGCUGGAAAGGGGAGGUCCAGCCCCAAGUAAAGCGACAGAAGCUUUCAUUGUUGAGGUUCCUCAGUGCUGAGCUAACAAGAGGGUACUUCCUUGAACAUAAUGAGGCCAAGUAUACAGAAAGAAGAGAAAGAGUAUACACUUGUUUGCGAAUACCAGGAGAAUUGGAAAAGCUGAUGGUUUUUGGAAUCUUUCUGUGCCUGGAUGCGUUUUUGUAUGUGUUCACCCUGCUUCCUUUAAGAGUUUUCCUGGCACUAUUCAGGCUCCUCACUUUGCCUUGCUAUGGCUUAAGGGACAGGCGUUUGCUUCAGCCUGCCCAGGUGUGUGACAUUUUGAAGGGUGUCAUUUUGGUAAUCUGCUAUUUUAUGAUGCACUAUGUUGACUACUCCAUGAUGUACCACCUGAUAAGGGGGCAGUCCGUCAUCAAGCUCUACAUCAUCUACAACAUGCUGGAGGUAGCUGAUCGUCUGUUUUCAUCUUUUGGACAAGAUAUAUUAGAUGCUCUCUAUUGGACAGCAACAGAGCCUAAAGAAAGAAAAAGAGCCCACAUUGGGGUGAUUCCUCACUUUUUCAUGGCUGUUCUCUAUGUCUUUUUCCAUGCAAUUCUUAUAAUGGUUCAAGCAACAACUCUCAAUGUAGCUUUUAACUCACACAACAAGUCUUUGCUUACUAUCAUGAUGUCUAAUAAU